rnacentral:rRNA from 1 species
CUACGGGAUGCAGCAGUGGGGAAUAUUGCACAAUGGAGGAAACUCUGAUGCAGCAACGCCGCGUGGAGGAUGACACUUUUCGGAGCGUAAACUCCUUUUAUAUAGGAAGAUAAUGACGGUACUAUAUGAAUAAGCACCGGCUAACUCCGUGCCAGCAGCCGCGGUAAUACGGAGGGUGCAAGCGUUACUCGGAAUCACUGGGCGUAAAGAGCGUGUAGGCGGGUUAAUAAGUCAGAAGUGAAAUCCUAUGGCUCAACCAUAGAACUGCUUUUGAAACUGUUAACCUAGAGUGUGGGAGAGGUAGAUGGAAUUUCUGGUGUAGGGGUAAAAUCCGUAGAGAUCAGAAGGAAUACCGAUUGCGAAGGCGAUCUACUGGAACAUAACUGACGCUGAGACGCGAAAGCGUGGGGAGCAAACAGGAUUAGAUACCCCCGUAGUC